ACGCUGGCGGCAGGCCUAACACAUGCAAGUCGAGCGGUAGAGAGAAGCUUGCUUCUCUUGAGAGCGGCGGACGGGUGAGUAAUGCCUAGGAAUCUGCCUGGUAGUGGGGGAUAACGUCCGGAAACGGACGCUAAUACCGCAUACGUCCUACGGGAGAAAGCAGGGGACCUUCGGGCCUUGCGCUAUCAGAUGAGCCUAGGUCGGAUUAGCUAGUUGGUGGGGUAAUGGCUCACCAAGGCGACGAUCCGUAACUGGUCUGAGAGGAAGAUCAGUCACACUGGAACUGAGACACGGUCCAGACUCCUACGGGAGGCAGCAGUGGGGAAUAUUGGACAAUGGGCGAAAGCCUGAUCCAGCCAUGCCGCGUGUGUGAAGAAGGUCUUCGGAUUGUAAAGCACUUUAAGGUUGGGAGGAAGGGCAGUAAAUUAAUACUUUGCUGUUUUGACGUUACCCGACAGAAUAAGCACCGGCUAACUCUGUGCCAGCAGCCGCGGGUAAUACAGAGGGUGCAAGCGUUAAUCGGAAUUACUGGGCGUAAAGCGCGCGUAGGUGGUUCGUUAAGUUGGAUGUGAAAUCCCCGGGCUCAACCUGGGAACUGCAUUCAAAACUGACGAGCUAGAGUAUGGGUAGAGGGUGGUGGAAUUUCCUGUGUAGCGGUGAA
rnacentral:rRNA from 1 species